rnacentral:rRNA from 1 species
UACGGGGGGGGCAAGCGUUGUUCGGAAUUACUGGGCGUAAAGGGCUCGUAGGCGGCCAACUAAGUCGGAUGUGAAAUCCCCAGGCUUACUACGGUGAACUGCAUCCGAUACUGGAUGGCUUGAAUCCGGGAGAGGGAUGCAGAAUUCCAGGUGUAGCGGUGAAAUGCGUAGAUAUCUGGAGGAACACCGGUGGCGAAAGGCGGACUUCCUGGACCAGUACAGUGACGCUGCAGUGUG